rnacentral:rRNA from 1 species
AGCGAACGCUGGCGGCAGGCCUAACACAUGCAAGUCGAACGAACUCUUCGGAGUUAGUGGCGGACGGGUGAGUAACACGUGGUAACGUGCCUUUUGGUUCGGAAUAACUCAGGGAAACUUGUGCUAAUACCGAAUGUGCCCUUCGGGGGAAAGAUUUAUCGCCAUUAGAGCGGCCCGCGUCUGAUUAGCUAGUUGGUGAGGUAACGGCUCACCAAGGCGACGAUCAGUAGCUGGUCUGAGAGGAUGACCAGCCACACUGGGACUGAGACACGGCCCAGACUCCUACGGGAGGCAGCAGUGGGGAAUCUUGCGCAAUGGGCGAAAGCCUGACGCAGCCAUGCCGCGUGAAUGAUGAAGGUCUUAGGAUUGUAAAAUUCUUUCACCGGGGACGAUAAUGACGGUACCCGGAGAAGAAGCCCCGGCUAACUUCGUG